rnacentral:rRNA from 1 species
UACGAGCGGCCCAAACGUUAUUCGGAUUUACUGGGCUUAAAGAGUUCGUAGGCGGCGCAGAAAGUAGGGUGUGAAAGCCCUCGGCUCAACCGAGGAAUUGCGCCCUAAACUACUGUGCUUGAGGAACCUAGAGGUGAGCAGAACUGAUGGUGGAGCGGUGAAAUGCGUUGAUAUCAUCAGGAAUACCGGAGGCGAAGGCGGCUCACUGGGGGUUAUCUGACGCUGAGGAACGAAAGCCAGGGGAGCGAACGGG